UAAACAAGGAACUGUGAAGCAGAUUUACAGAGGUGUCGUCUUCCUAUAUGACCAAAGUGAACAGGAUAAUAAUGGUUAUCUCUGUGUCAAAGGUCAGAUGUGUGAAAGAAUUGCAAGCAGUGGUGGUGUAUCGAACGGGAAGGUCUGUACUUUUGUUUUUUUUUAAAACUAAUCAUAUUUGUAUGUUAUCCAUAUUUGUUGUGCUAAUAUUUUUGUUCAUAUUUUAUUUAACCAGGGAAGUGAACCUGGUCCCUCAGGUUUAGCAGAUUUCUCAUCAUCACCUAAAUCCCCUCUUUCGCCUGAGAAAUCUUGGAGAGUGAAGGAUGAUAAUAGCAGCUGUAUGUUUUUUAGGAGUCUGUUCUUUUUCUAAUUGAUGCCUCGGAUCAAGACACUGCGUACAAUUAAAAUAUGGAUUCCUUUAACUUCUGUUUUUAUUCUCUCCACAGUCAAGCGCGGGGAUGACAAUGAAAUGUUUUCAGUUGGGCAGUCACUGAGAAUCCGAGUGGGGCCUUUGAAGGGAUAUCUUUGUCGUGUAAUAGCCAUACGACGUUCUGAUGUUACAGUAAAGCUUGAUUCCCAGCAAAAAAUUCUUACAGGUUCAUACAUUUCCUUGCUUUGACUUCUAAUGUUAUAUGGGAAAUUGUCACUAAAAAGAGUCUGUCUUUGUAGUCAAAUCUGAACAUCUUGCAGAAGUUCAUGCAAAGAGUUCCGUCGUAUCUCUUGGGUACAAUUUCUUUACCUGAACAAAUUCGAGGAGAAACUUUCAAUUACUUUUUGACAUUUUGAUUUCUUUUAACACUCAUUACUUAUUACUAUAGGGUUGAUGGUGAUUCAUCAAAACCUUUUGACCUGCUUGGAACACAGGAUGGUUCUGACGGUAAGAAGAGCAUUUUGCUCCAUUUCUUGAAUGAGUAGUACUCCCUCCAUCCCAAUUUAUGUGGCGCCGUUUGACCGGGCAUGAAGUUUAAACAAUAAGGGAAGACUUUGUUAUAUUUACCAGAUUUCCCUUCGUAAAGUCACUUUAGUGCUUACUUUUAAUUUUGACUUUUCUUCACAAUAAAGUGUUAAGUGGGACCCAAUAAGGGCAAGGAUGGUGCCAUUAAAUAAUUGCCAAAUAAAGAAAGGUGACAUUUUUCCUGGGAUGGACUAAAAAGGAAAGUGUGCCACAUAAAUUGGGGCAUAGAGAGUAGUACUUUUUAUUUCAGAGUAAAGAGUUGGAGCAUCAUACAUCUGUCAUCCUUUACCAAAAGCCAAAAGAUAUAAGCAUGACUAAGUUUGUGUGUUGAGUUAACUAAGCCUUCAAAGCAUCUUCUGUUCCUUUUCCACCCAACUAGUCCAAAAAAAUGCAUGCAGGGAUGGUCAUCCAUGUCUUCCUAUUCUGUUAUGCAGCCUCUUCCUUCCUGCAACAUAGUAGUUCGUCACAUAUCGAUUGCAUUGCCCAUUUUAGGUUGUAUAAGCUGAAAAUCAUGCACCACAGUUUUCUGGCAGUUUGCCUUUUCCUCACACAUGGAACCUCUGCUGCACAAUACCAUUCCCACCCUUUGUAGUUCUGUUUGUGUCAAACACGCUUCAUUUGCUGUUAUCCAACAAGAACUACUCACCUUAACUAGUGCUUUGGCUUCCAGAGUAUCUUCCAAGGUCACUGUGUAACAGUACUCUGCAUGUUGCACAAAGUUUUGUACCCAUACUUGACAGUGUACUUCCUAUCUUUUUUAUGUUCUGUUCCCUCCUGAUUUUCCAGCAGCUUAGCGACUCCCCUAAUUUCCCAGUCUUCACAGUUUCUCCUAAAAGAUAAUCCCUGUCAUCUUUGUGACGUUGUGCCUUGCUUUAGCAUUUACUUCCAAAUUAUAUUGGGAUGGGUAUCUCCUGCCCAAAUUUAUCUGUGCAUGCCACUACCCAUUAAGAAGUGUAUAUUUUGAAGUAAUCGUCUCUGAGUUUUCAGAUGCUCUUCAACAAGUCCACUCCAUGAGGUCCUGUGACAGGUUUACAGGACAACUGUUCUACCCAUGUCUGGCAAUUAUAACCUUCUUCUGCAUGCAAAAUUUAUUACUGCUUUUGAACAUACCCUUCUACAUGGAUGUAUCCGACUGCAGAGGCUUCUUUUGCCUUAUAUUUUGUUUAGCUUUCAGUUUUCUUCUCUAUUGUUAUUUAAUGUCAAAUUUUCUGUAGAUCCGUACUUCUCCUUUGACAAGUAUAGAGUCUGUACUUUUAUCCUUUUCUUCACUUUGUUGCACUUACUCUGUAUUUAGAAGACAGAGUACCUAUCUACUGCACUAUUGAAUGGUUAGCGUCGAGUAGUGCAGUUGAUGAGAUUCAGCCUAGUUAACAAAUUUAUUGAGGUUUCUAACUUAUUGUGUAUGAACUAACCAGCUAUUUCUUUUAUCUUUCUGGCAGAUUGGAUGGUUCAAGGGGCUACAGCCACUGAGGGCAACACCAGGAAUGCAUCAUGGGGUGCAUCUGGAGGUAGUGAUAGAACUGUUGCUGACGCUGGGCAAGAUGAUGGUUGGGCGAAAGCUACUUCUGCUGUUGGUGCCACUAGUGGUGCGUCUGAUGGCUGGGGCAAAAAGGUUGAAUCACAUCAAGAGAGCACCGAGAAGAUUACAGAUAAUUCCUGGGGAAGUUCUGUGCAAAAACAAGGGAAUAAUGAUGAUUCUGGCAAAACCUCAUGGGGCAAGCAGGACGGUGGAUCUUCUUGGGGUAAGCAAUCUGAUGCAAAUGCAGAGACUGACUGGAAAAAACAAGAUGGUGGAUUGGACAAGACAGAUAGCAAAACCUCGUGGAGUCAGCAGGGUGCUGGAUCUUCUUGGAAUAAAAGUGAUGGUGGAUCGUCUUCAAGUAAGCAAGCGGGUGGAUCUUCUUGGGGUCAGCAAUCGGAUGCAAAUGCUGAAACUGGAUGGAAAAAGCAAGAUGGUGGAUCAAAUAAGCCAGAUAGCAAAACCUCGUGGAGUCAGCAGGGUGCCGGAUCUUCUUGGAAUAAAAGUGAUGGUGGAUUGUCUUCAAGUAAGCAAGCGGGUGGAUCUUCUUGGGGUCAGCAAUCGGAUGCAAAUGCUGAAACUGGAUGGAAAAAGCAAGAUGGUGGAUCAAAUAUGCCAGAUAGCAAAACUUCGUGGAGCCAGCAGGAUGCUGGAUCUUCUUGGAAGAAGAGUGAAGGUGAAGGUGGAUCCUCUUGGGGGGGUAAGCAAUCUGAUGCAAAGGCAGAUAAUGACUGGAAAAAGCAAGAUGGUGGAUCUAGCUGGAGUAAGCCAGACAGCAAAACCUCUUUUAACCAGCAGGGUUCUGGAUCUUCUUGGAAUAAAAGCAACGGUGGAUCUUCUUGGGGUAAGCAAUCUGAUGCAAAUGCAGGGACUGUCGGGGAAAAACAAGAUGGUGGAUCUAGUUGGAGCAAGUCUGAUGACAGCAAAACCUCUUGGAGCAAGCAGGAUGAUGGUUCUUCUUGGAACAAAAAGGAUGAUGGAUCUUUCUCCAAGCCUGCUGGAGGUACUUCUUGGGACAAAGGAAGUGGUGGAUCUACUUGGAAUAAGAAGGAAGCUGGAUCUGGUGGGGGAGAAGAUACCAAAUCUACUUGGGGCAAACAGGAUGGUGGAUCUUCUUGGGGUAAAGAAGCUGCAGGGGGUUGGAAAGAAGGUGAGAGUGGGAAUAGUGGUGGUACGGACCAAGAAGGAGGAAGCUGGGGAAGGCCAAGAGAAUUUGAUGGAGGUCGUGGAUCAGGUGGUAGGAGAGGACGAGGUGGUUGGCGAGGAGGUCGAGAUCAAAGUGGUAGAGGAGGAUCCUUUAAUCAAGGACGGUCUAGUAGCUGGACUACUGAUGGUGAAGAUAAUAAUAAUAAUUCUAAUAAUGUAGCAUUUAAGGGUAACCAGUCUAGUUGGAGUAAUUCACAGGAACAUGGUAAAAAUCUUAAUGAAGACACCAGUGGUCCUAAUAAUCAAACGUCUGAUUUCCAGAGCACUGGUGGUUGGACUGCUUCCAAACCAUCAAAUGAUGGAUGGUCUUAUAGUUGGAAUAAAAAUUCAGCCACAACGGAGGUAGGAGGUUCUGGUGGAAACCAGUCUGAUUGGGACAAAAAAUCUGGUGAAGUGGGUGGAGCUGCUGGUUGGGACAACAAGAUUACCCAGAAAGCGUCAGAAGGUAACAACUCUGCAUGGAAUAGCAAAUCUGCAGUCGAACAAGAUGGAAAUGGAAAAAAUCAAAAUGAUACAUGGAAAAAGACUUCUGAUGGAGGUUCAUCUACCGGAUGGGGUCAAAGUAAUUCGUGGAAGAGUGGAACUAAUGAUGCGGGUGGAACUCAAGAUUCUUGGAGCAGCAAAAGUAACUGGAAUUCUGGAAGUGGCUUCGGUGGCAACAACCAGCAAUCUGAUUCUUACAGUGACAGGGGAAGAGGUGGUAGUUGGAGGGGAGGCCGUGGUAGAUCAGAUAGGGGUGGAUAUGGAGGUAGGGGUGGUUCAGAUGGUGGUGGCUUUGGAGGUAGGGGUGAUUCAGAUGGUGGCGGCUUUGGAGGUAGGGGAGGUUUUCGAGGUAGAGGGGACAGAGGAGGUUUUAGAGGUAGAGGAUCAGAUGGGGGAGGAUUUCGUGGUAGAGGGCGUGGAAGGAGGGAUGAAAGUGGUGAAUGGCAGAAUAGAAAUGAUUCGCAGGAAGAUAAACCCUACAGUUGGAGCAAAGGCUCUGGAAGUGAUGCUGAGGGAUGGAAAUCUAAUAAGGGCAGUUGGAGCCAAGAUAACAAUAACAAAGGCAGCUGGAAGAGUGCUGAUAGUACAGGUAAUGCUGAUGAUGGUGGAUGGAAGAAAGGAUUCGACUCUGAAAAGAAUGUGAGUGGAAGUGGUGCUAGUACUACCAGUUGGAAUAGUCAAGGAAAUAGUUGGAAAGCAUCAACUACUACUACAGGAGGUAAUGCUGAUGAUGGUGGAUGGAAGAAAGGAUUCGACUCUGAAAAGAAUGUGAGUGGAAGUGGUGCUAGUACUACCAGUUGGAAUAGUCAAGGAAAUAGUUGGAAAGCAUCAACUACUACUACAGGAGGUAAUGCUGAUGAUGGUGGAUGGAAGAAAGGAUUCGACUCCGAAAAGAAUGCGAGUGGAAGUGGUGGCAGUUGGAAGACUGAAGGAAAUAGUUGGAAAACAUCUACUGCUACUACGGGAGGUACUUCGUCAGGGUGGGGUCAGCAGACAACUAUUGGCGAAAAGGAGGUUCAGAAUGACAAGGGAACAAGUUGGAACCAGGGAACUGGUUCAGGAAACGCGAGCACAGCUUGGACUGCAAACAAAUCCAGCACCGACGAUGUGAACAAACCAAAAGAAACAAGCGACGGACCGAGUGAUGCAUGGGGUAAAUCAACCAGCUCUUGGGGAAAAGGAAACAGCUCUGGCGGUCAGGGAGGCUGGUGACAACUUUGGACGGUAAUUAUAUGUACAUAAACUUGGUUUAUAUUCUUCUUAUUUAGGUCUUUAUAAUCUAAAUAUUUGCCCUAUAUGAUGCACAGAUUCUACUUGCAGAUAUUUGGGAUGACAAUCUCAACGUUUUUUUUUACAUUAAAAGAUGAACUAUUUGAAACUUCAU
rnacentral:lncRNA from 1 species